UUCCAGACUCCUACGGGAGGCAGCAGUGGGGAAUAUUGGGCAAUGGGCGCAAGCCUGACCCAGCAACGCCGCGUGAAGGAAGAAGGCUUUCGGGUUGUAAACUUCUUUUAAGAGGGAAGAGAAGAAGACGGUACCUCUUGAAUAAGCCACGGCUAACUACGUGCCAGCAGCCGCGGUAAUACGGAGGAUGCGAGCGUUAUCCGGAUUUAUUGGGUUUAAAGGGUGCGCAGGCGGAGGCACAAGUCAGCGGUAAAUUGGGGGGGCUCAGCCCGGCUCCGCCGUUGAAACUGUGUCCCUUGAGUGCGCGAAGGGUAGGCGGAAUGCGUGGUGUAGCGGUGAAAUGCAUAGAUAUCACGCAGAACCCCGAUUGCGAAGGCAGCAUACCGGUGCACAACUGACGCUCAGGCACGAAAGCGUGGGUAUCGAACAGGAUUAGAUACCCCCGUA
rnacentral:rRNA from 1 species